GGGGAUUUAGCUCAGUGGUAGAGCACUUGCCUAGCAAGCACAAAGUCUUGGGUUCGGUCCCCAGCUCCG
rnacentral:tRNA from 1 species